CCUACGGGAGGCAGCAGUGGGGAAUAUUGCACAAUGGGGGAAACCCUGAUGCAGCGACGCCGCGUGAGUGAAGAAGGAAUUCGUUACGUAAAGCUCUAGCAGCAGGGAAGAAAAUGACGGUACCUGAGGAAGACGCCCCGGCUAAAUACGUGCCAGCAGUCGCGGUAAUACGUAGGGGGCAAGCGUUAUCCGGAUUUACGGGGUGUAAAGGGAGCGUAGACGGCAGUGCAAGUCUGGAGUGAAAGGCGGGGGCCCAACCCACGGACUGCUCUGGAAACUGUACGGCUGGAGUGCAGGAGAGGUAAGUGGAAUUCCUAGUGUAGCGGUGAAAUGCGUAGAUAUUAGGAGGAACACCAGUUGCGAAGGCGGCUUACUGGACUGUAACUGACGUUGAGGCUCGAAAGCGUGGGUAGCAAACAGGAUUAGAUACCCCAGUAGUC
rnacentral:rRNA from 1 species